CUUGUACAGUAGACACAAAAUAUGCUAAGUUAAUUAUUAUUUCUGUAAAUCAUUUGAAGAAUCGAGUUUUAUCAGAAACAAUACGUUGGAUUGCUGAGCAGCAUGGGUGAAAGAUUUCUACAACAGUACAUCUACAGUAGAUGUAACUAGUAACUAGGAGGAUGGUGGUUGAACUAAUUGCUACAACAUUUUUCCAUUCAGAAAAAAAUAUUGGGACCGAGCAAGGCUAAACCAAACAAAUGCAAAUGCAAAUGUUGACAUGAGCAUGGCUGGACGACUGCUGCUCCUUGCAGUGUCUAUUACUGUGUGUUCUGCUGAGCUCUACACAGCUCUGGUAGACUUGGAGGAGUUGCUGGAGUCGGAAUCUGCGCUGCUGCACACCCUCAAGGACUACAUC